GCGAGUAUAGCUCAGCGGCAGAGCGGCACGUUUACACCGUGUUAGUCGGAGGUUCAAAUCCUUCUACUCGCACCA
rnacentral:tRNA from 1 species